ACGUAGGGUGCAAGCGUUAAUCGGAAUUACUGGGCGUAAAGCGUGCGCAGGCGGUUCGGAAAGAAAGGUGUGAAAUCCCAGGGCUUAACCUUGGAACUGCAUUUUUAACUACCGGGCUAGAGUAUGUCAGAGGGGGGUGGAAUUCCGCGUGUAGCAGUGAAAUGCGUAGAUAUGCGGAGGAACACCGAUGGCGAAGGCAGCCCCCUGGGAUGAUACUGACGCUCAUGCACGAAAGCGUGGGGAGCAAACAGG
rnacentral:rRNA from 1 species